ACCGGCUAAGCGCAAACUACUUAGACGGAGUUAAUUUUUGCUUCUAGAUUAAGGAUGUAAAUACAACAAUUGCGCAAGCAACUUAAGCAUCUGUCAAAGGGCGGUCCUGCAGUGCCCCAUAUCUGAAGUAGCUCUUGUCAACGACAUUCUUGAAGGUCUUGGCACUGCCUAUGGACCAUUCACUCGGGCUGUUAAGGCUUGCAAUUGAUUAGUGAAGAAGCACAACUGGAGCUGGACACCAUGACUACUGAAUCUUCAGUAGCACCGACUGCACAAUUAGCAACCAUAUCUCCAACAAUUCGUGGCCUCCACUCUAGUAGAGGAGGUAGAGGACGUGAUAGACAAAUCUUCCUUACCAUCUUUUUUCCAAAACACAAUUUCCACCACCAUUUGCUACUAUUGUCAGGGCCAUAGUCAUAUCUCUUGCCAAUGUCCAUCCUCAAAGCCAACUCAACCUAUGUCACAUGCACCUCAACCUCGCCCUCAGUCCAACUUUGCCUCUAAUGGUAGCCAACCGGUGCAAACACGGACCAUCGAUCUUUGAAGGUAAGCUUUAAAGAGGGUAACAGCAAAUUGUGGAAUGAAAAAACUGGUAGGAUCUGUGCAGGAGCUGCCUCAUACAAUUCUGGGCUGUAAGUAUUUUGGGAGCUGGUUUACUUUUAAAGCCAGCUAUAGUGAUUGAUGGCAAAUGGUUGACAUAAUAAUUGGGGUCUUUUGUCUCUUUGUAGUCAAACUAUCUGUCUGCUAGGAAGUAUGGAUAUGGCAUGGAGACAAUUCAAUAGAAGUAAUGUUCUCGAUAGCUUGCCACAAGCCCUUGAUUGAACAACUUGUCCAAUUGAAUGAACUGUCUGCCAUCUCAAGCAAACCUUUGCUUGAGUAGACAAGUCAAGGAUGGUAAGUGGUAAGCUAAUAGAUUAUUAUUACAUAAUGUCCAAUGUCUCGGAAAAAAAAAAG
rnacentral:misc_RNA from 1 species